GAGAGAGAGAGAGAAGCUCACUGAGAGGACGGAAGUCUGAAGCGGCUGACCCGCUGAUGUAAUCGCGAAUUCGCGAAUCUGCCUUGCGACGUUCGCGCUUCCGGCGUUCGCGCAUAACGAGGAGGCCGGGUCAGAAAGUGCCGCGGGAAUAUCGUGGAACGAAUCGUUGCCUGGAAGGCAUUAGAGCGUGCGUUAAAGCGCACGAGCGCUCCUUCAUUUUCGGCAAGCUGAAUCUUUGCCUCAUCCGAGCGUAUUCGUGCACGACCGCGGCCGCGCGCCUCGUAGGCGUGAGAAAAUCGACCCGGCCGACGUGCCGUCGACUGGCACGGAUACGGACAUUAUAACCUAUCAGAGAGUCCGGACCCGUGCACGAUCCCCGGUACGAAAGUUCCUCCUAUGCGAGCGACUCGACGGCGCGCUGUCGGAGGAUCACCGAGCGCGAGCGCUACUGAAAAUCCGGCGAAAAUCUCUCUUCCGUCCGCGGCGAUCGUAAAAGUAGCUGCGUCCAGUUGACGUUGCUCCGUCGCCUCUCGGGGAAAGCUCUGGUCUGUCUGUCUCUCUCUCCAUUCCCACCCCUCUCUCUUUCUCUUCUUCCGUUUCUAUGAAAAAGUCGAUUCCGGUCGCGCCUCGUGAACUCGACAAACCCCGCGACUGACGAAGACAGCCACCGCCGAGGAGGCAUGGAGAGCGAUAAAUACCGACGUGUCAUGCGGAGCGAGAGGUCGUUUUCCCCCACAUUGGAGAAUAAUUCGAGAAGUGCCCUCGCGAGUGGCAAGCUCAAGAGCGAGAUCCUUCGCCGAAACUUGCGCGUUACGUGACUCUCUUGCCCUCGUUUCUUCUUCGCUUGAUCUUUGUUUCCUCUCUUUUAAUCGGAAACGAUGAGAUCCGACUGGUCGAGAUCGCCGUCGUGAGACUCGGAGCCACGAGAAGCGCGGAGUGAAAAAGUGCGCACUUUUCAACGAUUAUGUAGCGAACCUCAUCAACUCCGGGGCCCAAGUUCAUAUGAUUCAUCGCCAACAAAGCUCUCAGUCGUCGUCGUCGUCGUCCAACGAGUUCGCCAUGUACCCGUCGGCCGCGUAUCACUCUUCGCACUCGACGCUACCGUCGUCGACGUCGUUGUCGCCGCUAUCGUCGGCGACGUCGUCGUCACCGUCAACGGCGUCGUCCUCGUCGUCGAGAUCGUUGUCGGCGUCGUCUACUCCGAUUCUGCUGUCUGUCUUCACGUGGUCGCUGACGUUCCUGCUAAUAUCGUCCUGCAUCAACCUGACGGACGCACGCACCCUCAACGGCCAUCCCCUGAGCAAAAGAUCCUUCUUCGACAUCCAAUGCAAGGGCGUGUACGACAAGAGCAUCUUCGCCCGUUUGGACCGCAUUUGCGAAGACUGCUACAACCUCUUCCGAGAGCCGCAGUUGCACAUGCUUUGCAAGAAGAAUUGUUUCACGACGGACUACUUUAAAGGAUGCCUAGAUGUGCUGCUGCUAUCGGACGAGGUGGAGAAAAUCCAAAUGUGGAUCAAACAACUCCACGGAGCCGAUCCUGGGGUUUAGGUAGCUUGUUUGUUUUUAGUUUAUGAUUUCUCCUUAUGCGCCUUCCUUUUCUUUUCUCCGCUUUUCGUGUAUAACGAACUAACCGUGCCCGCUUGCCCUCCGUUAUCCUUCCUCGUCUAUUCUCUCCUUGUCCCGACACGUUUGAGAAUACGCGAAUGUUUGGAAAUCACGUAGACGUCCGCGAAAAGAUAGUAUUUAUCAAAGAGAAGUGACUUUCGGGAGAAUUUUGAAUAACAGAAUUUUAAUUACGCGAGACACGUGCGUAAAGAUUAUGUGUACUACGGCGGUGCUUUCAGUCAAAAGUUUUGGAUCGAUAAUAAGCGAUAAGAGAUCGGUAAGAGCGCGACGGUCCGAUUUCGACAUGACAGAAAGAACGCAAGGGAAACGCCAAUACCUCACUUGCCGAUUUCAAGUGUAUAAACGCACCAAAUUUGACCGCAUUAUCGGCUGCAAUUCGCGAGUAAGUUUGAACUUGUCCGAAAAUCGGCUUCACGAGUUGACGCGCGGACUUCCGCUUUGUACCUUGUCUUGAUUUUGCCAUCACUUUAAAUUACGUUUACGUUGCAUUUGGAUGCCACCACUUGGACGAAUAUAACCGCGUGUAUUAUAGAUCUCCUCACAUCGGCAUAAUGAGUACGAGAGAUUAGGCAAGACUGCUUCAGCACAGCAUACUUUACGAGCUGCAUGCAAGUGCUGCUGCUUGAGGACGAGAAGGACAGACUCCAGGAGAUGGUCGAGUACCUAGGUCGCAAGUAAACGGAAUACAAGUCGGAGCAACGACGCGCCGCACCACGAAGGGAUGAGAGAAAGAGAGAGAGAGAGAGAGAGAGAAACCACGCACACCCGUAAAUAAAUACCUACACACACGCACACAUAUACGCACGUACACAACACACAUGCACACGGUGCACACUGCACGGACAUAUGCGAAGAGGUCGACGAAGAACGCUUGGUCUCCUUGUCUUCGAGGAGGAGCGACAAGUGACGAGAUUCCGAAGAGCUCCAGCUGCAAAAGUCAUGGACGCGGAGUGAUCACCGACGCGAAGCCGCCGUCUCGAUACGACGAUCAGCCGGCGUGAUAGUGACGCAAGGUGUCAGCUGCAACGUUCAUCGCGUGGUCGAGGAUAGGCCGAUGAAGAAGACCGAAGAGGAACGCGCAUACACCGGUCGCGUUCGCGAAACGUACGGUUGUCCGUCGCGUGGUCCGAGCGUCGCUUAGCUUACUCUAGGGUGUAUUAUCGUGGACGUCUCGGUAUUACCACCGACAGGUAUCGGCGGCGCGAUGAGAGAGUAUGAAUGGAGGACGACGGAAUGUUUGAGGCAAAGAUACAGAAGGAAAGCAAGAGAGAUAAAGAAAGAGAGAGAGAGAGAGAGAGGCGCCAGUCUUUCGCGGUGAGUCGCGUCGUUAUCUGACACGCACGGUGAAGAACGAAGCGCAAAACAAUAGCACACUAAAUAACGAGACACGAGACACAAGCAAAACGAUGCGGAUCGAGCCAUACACACGAACGCGUAUACACAGCAAAAAUCCAUACGAAUUCUAGUCGAUAAAAUAUCCGCGCUCUUGCGCGCUACGCCACGUUUUUAUUCGAUUAAUCAUUAUUAUAAUUAUUAUAAUUAUUAUAAUUAUUAUAAUUAUUAACGUUAAUCGUCGUCACUCAUUAUUAUGUAAUAGUAAUGGUAAUCUAUAUUAUUAUUAUUAAUAUUAUUCGAUUACUAUAUAUAUAUAUGUGUAUAUAUAUAAUAUAUACAUGUAUGUAUGUAAUGGCACGGUUAUUUUUUAUUAUUAUUAUCGCUGUUCUCAUCUGUUCUCAUCUGUUUAUUAUUUAGUUGAUGAUUGAACCCUCGGUCGUUUAUCGUAUCCGAAUAAUUGCGCGCGAUAGACGAGUGAGGCCACACUGAUAGUCUGCGAAAUUGUGCAAAACCUUCACUAUACUACGUCACGUAACGUCGCGAGGAAAGUAAUUGCGAAGUAACGGACGCGUACUCGUGAAUCCUGACGAAUAUUCGAGAGACGAGAUCUCCCUUUUCUUUCGGCUAAAUGCUUCUUCUCUCGAGCGAGCGUCAUCGGAGAUAUCAGAUCAAAAAUCCAUCGGUCACUCGAGAAUCCCGACCGCAUUAUAUAUAUAUAUAUAUAUAUAUAUAUAUGUAUAUAUAUAUAUAUAUAUAUAUAUAAUUAUUAUUAAUAUUAUUAUUCUCAUAGCAGAAUUAUUGUUGUUAUCAUUGCGACAUAUGGCGACGCCUCCGCCCGGGUGAUCGCACCGCACGCUGGAAGAGACACGCUGGCAAUGCGAGCGAUACACACGACGUUCAAUUGUGAGAAUCGAAUAUAUUAGUAAUGCCGGCACGCGUGAGCAUUCUCGAAAGCGAAGUCGUCGAGGAGUAAGAGAGAGAAAGAGAGAGAGAGAGAGAGGGGUAGAGAAAUAAGAAAAAAAAACGAAGGAACGAGACCUUCUUGUAAUUUAUUUGCCGGACACACGGGCAACGUCCGUGAGCUUUUCACACGUGUGUAUUUUUCUUCGUGCAGUCGGCGUCUCGCUCGAACGGAGUCGGUCGUGCAUAUAAAGACGCGUAGUAUUUAUUUAUUUUUUCACGUUCUUAAGUUAUAAGCAACAUAUAGCGAAGCAAAGUAUUAGCGCGCGUACCUAACCGAGAGAGAGAGAGGGGAAGAGCGAAAGCAAGAGAGAGAGAGAGAGAGAGAGAGAGAGAGAGAGAGAGAGAGAGAGAGAGAGAGA